GGAGAAAAGCAGGGGAUCGCAAGACCUCGCGCUAUUAGAGUGGCCGAUGUCCGAUUAGCUAGUUGGUGGGGUAAAGGCCCACCAAGGCGACGAUCGGUAGCUGGUCUGAGAGGAUGAUCAGCCACACUGGGACUGAGACACGGCCCAGACUCCUACGGGAGGCAGCAGUGGGGAAUUUUGGACAAUGGGCGCAAGCCUGAUCCAGCCAUGCCGCGUGAGUGAAGAAGGCCUUCGGGUUGUAAAGCUCUUUCGGCCGGAACGAAAUCGUCCGGGCUAAUACCUCGGAUGGAUGACGGUACUGGAAGAAGAAGCACCGGCUAACUACGUGCCAGCAGCCGCGGUAAUACGUAGGGUGCAGGCGUUAAUCGGAAUUACUGGGCGUAAAGCGUGCGCAGGCGGCUUCCUAAGUCAGAUGUGAAAUCCCCGGGCUUAACCUGGGAACUGCGUUUGAAACUACAAAGCUAG
rnacentral:rRNA from 1 species